CUUUUAGGUUGGAGACUACAUAAGACUUUGACAGUUGGCGGGAAACCAUCAUCAACUGGAGAGAUGCCGGUAGAGGAAUGUCUGCGACUAAGUCAUGGGCCACUGGAUAAGGGUUGUUGAUGGCAAAACAGGUUGGAGACUACAUAAGACUUUGACAGUUGGCGGGAAACCAUCAUCAACUGGAGAGAUGCCGGUAAAAAGAUGGCCAUAAAACAGUGACCGCUGAUUCGCAUUGAGUUCUUUCUUACAUAUUGGAUGACCUAUGUUUUUUAUUGUUUAAAUCAUUGCGGCUUGGAAUGCUCUUUAAGAAAAGGUAGAGGAAUGUCUGCGACUAAGUCAUGGGCCACUGGAUAAGGGUUGUUGAUGGCAAAACAGGUUGGAGACUACAUAAGACUUUGACAGUUGGCGGGAAACCAUCAUCAACUGGAGAGAUGCCGGUAAAAAGAUGGCCAUAAAACAGUGACCGCUGA